ensembl:lncRNA
GUCCCAACUGCCCCUACUGCCACUAACUACUGUCACAACUGUGCCUAACUACAGUCCCAUCUGUCACUAACUACUGUCCAAACUGCCCCUAACUACUGUGCCAACUGUCACUAACUCCUUUCCCAACUGCUCCAAACUGCUGUGUCAACUGUCACUAAAUACUGUUCCAACAGCCCCUAACAACUGUCCCAACUGCCCGUACUGCCACUAACUACGGUCCCAACUGUGCCUAACUACAGUCCCAUCUGUCACUAACUACUGUCCCAACUGCCACUAACUACUGUCCCAAGUGCCCCAAACUACUGUCCCAACGGUCAUAAACUACAGUCCCAAAUGACCCUAACUACGGUGCCAACUGCCCCUACUGCUUCUAACUACACUCCCGACUGCCACUACUGCUGCUAACUACUCUCCCAACUGACCCUACCUACUCUGCUAACUGCCGCUACUGCCGCUAACAACUGUUCAACUGCCGAUAACUACUGUCCCAACAGCCCAUAACUACUGACCCAAGUGCCCCUAACUACUAUCAAACUGUCGCUAACUACUGUCCCAACUGCCCCGACUGCAGAUAACUACUAUAUAAUGUCCCAACUGUCACUGACUACUGUCCCAUCAGCCCCUAACAACUGUCCCAACUGCCCCUAACUACUGUGCCAACUGCCGCUAACUACUGUCCAAGCUGUCCCUAACUACUGUCCCAACUGCAGAUAACUACUGUCCCAACUGUCGCUAACUACUGUAACAACUGCCACAACUACUGUUCCAACUUUUCUUAACUACUGUCCCAAAUGCCCCUUACUACUGUCCCAACUACCCAUAAUGCCGCUAACUACUGUCCCAACUGUGGCUAACUACUGUCCCAACUGCACCCAACUACUGUCCCAACUGUCUCUAAGUACUGUAGUUAGGGACAGUUGGGACAGUAGUUAGCGACAGUUGGGAGAGUAGUUUGGGGCAUUAGUGACAGUUGGCACAGUAGUUAGGGGCAGUUGGGACAGUAGUGAGACACAGUUGAGACAGUAGUUAGCAACAUUUGGGACUGUAGUCAGGGGCAGUUGAGACAGUGCUUAGCGACCCUUGUCACUGUAGUUAGCGACAGUUGGGACAGUAGUUGGGGCAGAUGGGACAGUAGUUAGCCGCAGUUGGGACUCUGGUUAGGGGCAGUUGGAACAGUAGUUUGUGGCAGAUGGGACAGUAGGUACGUGCAGUUGGGAGAGUAGCUUGCAGCAGUUGGGACAGUAGUUUGCAGAAGUUGGGACAGUAGU